UAGACCGCUAUGGCCAUUGGUACAGGUACCAUCAUUAUUGGCACCUGGAUAUCCAAGACCUGUGACCCCUGAAAGAUGAUCCAAAUUAUGGCUAUUUAGAAAUAUGUAGUAACUAUAUCUAUAGAUCAGGGGUGCGUCUUAUGGGCCGGUGCGUCAUAUAGGGUGAAAAAUACGGUCCUUAAAGAAGAAGAAACAAGACAAGCCGAGCUGCACAAACAAGUGGAUGAUGAGCAGGCUUGAUAAAGGCAUUGUGUGGGAAUAAAAGACGUUUCCGAAGAAGAUCUGACUUCAUCCGGACACUGAUUUGAAGUAUCAAGCACAGAUUUUCUUACAGUUUCUUACUAGAACAAGCUGCGUGAACAGAUCAUUACCGAGCCACGUAAUGGAACAUUUUUGUCUUAUGGAUUCCAAAUAAAAUUGAAGCCACACAUUAUUACAAAUAUGUUCAGCAUGAUAUACAGAAACUGAAUUUUAAAGGGGUCAUGAGAACAUAACCUAUUGUUUAAAUCACAUUUUUAUAUAAAACAUUUUUUAUGAA